UACAGAGGUCCCAAGCGUUGUUCGGAUUCACUGGGCGUAAAGGGUGCGUAGGCGGUCGGGUAAGUCUGAUGUGAAAUCUCACAGCUUAACUGUGAAACUGCAUUGGAUACUAUUCGGCUUGAGAGUUGGAGGGGGGACUGGGAAUUCUUGGUGUAGCAGUGAAAUGCGUAGAUAUCAAAGAGGAACACCCAGUGGCGAAAGGCGAGUCCCCUGGACAAACUUUCUGACGCUGAGGCACGAAAGCUAGGGGGAGCAAAACGGGG
rnacentral:rRNA from 1 species